rnacentral:rRNA from 1 species
GAUAAACGCUGGCGGCGUGCAUGAGACAUGCAAGUCGAACGAAGGAUCGGGCUUGCUCGAUCCUUAGUGGCGGACGGCUGAGUAACGCGUAGGUGACCUACCCCGACUUGGGGCAUAACUGCCCGAAAGGGUGGCUAAUACCGCAUGUGGUCGCACGUUCAUUCGUGCGAGUACAGCCGCAAGGCGCUUCGGGAGGGGCCUGCGUCCGAUUAGCUCGUUGGUGGGGUAAUGGCUUACCAAGGCGACGAUCGGUAGGUGGUCUGAGAGGACGAUCACCCAGACUGGGACUGAGACACGGCCCAGACUCCUACGGGAGGCAGCAGUCGGGAAUUUUGCUCAAUGGGGGAAACCCUGAAGCAGCAACGCCGCGUGAGGGAUGAAGGCCUUCGGGUUGUAAACCUCUUUUGUCAGGGACGAUGAUGACGGUACCUGGAGAAUAAGCCACGGCUAACUACGUG